CUCCCGGGUGCCCAAAAUUGAACAGAUUGCAGUCUACAAUUGUUGACGGUCAUUGUUUCUUCACAGUACCAAGAGGUUGCUCUAGCAUUGACUGCAUAUUACAAGGUGUACAUAUGCAAAGAGGCAGCAUUUGCUGCGGUUUGUGUAGAUGUCAAGUAUCUGCGGACCAACGAUUCAUCUAGAAGUGUAUCCCCUACUACUGAAGAGACCUUGAAUCACCUCGGCUGCAGUGUGAUUCUUCUCUUCAAUUUCUACAGUCUCUGUGUCAGCAAAA